rnacentral:rRNA from 1 species
UACGUAGGCAGCGAGCGUUGUUCGGAAUUACUGGGCGUAAAGAGUGUGUAGGCGGUUUUCUAAGUUUGGUGUGAAAUCUCCCGGCUUAACUGGGAGGGUGCGCCGAAAACUGGAAGGCUUGAGUGCCGGAGAGGAUAGCGGAAUUCCCGGUGUAGCGGUGAAAUGCGUAAAUAUCGGGAGGAACACCUGUGGUGUAGACGGCUAUCGUGG